GAGGAUAUAGUUCAAGUGGUAGAAUGCAUGCUUGGUAAGUACAAGGUCCUGGGUUCAAUCCCCGGUACCUACU
rnacentral:tRNA from 1 species